GUUUUCCUCCUAAAUAUAAGAUGCAGUGAACAUUUAGCAGCAAUCCUUCAAGGGAAGUUUGUCCUCCCCUUAUAAAACCAGCACCAAGCCACCCAGCAAGAAUCGGAGGAAGGUUUCCUUUCUGAGAGCCAAUUUUUGUAUCAAACUCAGCACAGCAGAAACCCAUCCCUCAGAGACAGGGAGCAUAUUUCACAUUUUCGAUCUGUUUCACUCGAGAGACAAGCUCUGGGAGAUGGGUGCUAUUUAAAUCCUCGCUUAGACAAAAACACCAGCUUUGAGACUUCGGUGCUUUAGACCCUUUUAAGCUGUGUCAAGCAGCCAGUGCUACUUUUCCCCACCACACAGGAACAUCUUACCACAACUCCCCUUGCAGAGAGGAAUAAGGCACUCAUUUGGGAUGCAAAUCACCCAUGGACUUGAGAAAUGCCCUGAAGCAGGUGUCCAUCAGCCACAUCCCUUCUAGGAAGGGUUCUUUAGUGUGUGCCCCUUUUGGGCUGACCUUUUGGUGUACGUGAGCUGCACCUCCCUACUCCCAGCCACCCAACGCAAGCACAAAACUACCCCAGUACACCUCCAGGUUAGCACAGAGACCAAUUAUCCUUUCACCAGGUCUACUCCUUUGACAAACACACUUCGGAGAUGAGCUGUGUCAAGUGUCUCCCUAAUGGGCUGCCAUUCAAUCCCUCUAAUUUCUAAUCCCUUCUACUCUUGCUCAUCUUUGACAACGUUGACAACCAGGUGCUCCACAGGGCACCAACAACAUUCAAAUCCCCAUUCAUUGCGCGCUGCCUUUCAGUCUGAGCUCCAUGGUAGCAAAGAGCUGCACACUCAGGUGGCAGCUGCAACAAAGCCACAGCCUUGAUUGGCUUAAUUACACUAAUCAAGCCAUUAGGCUUUUAUACCUCCUCCCAGCAGCCUGAGAAGGCUAUCAUCUGACACAGCAGAACAAGCCUUACAUCCACAGCCCAACAACAGGAGAAAACUCAAGCAGGAUGAGCUAAAUGCUGCCGUUUCUCACCCAUGUGCUGAUGGUGCAGGUCUGCUGCCAACGGAGUGGAAGAAUCAGCUUCCCCGAAAGAGCACAGAUUUAACCUGACUGACAAGUUCUUUGCUUUUUCGAAACACGCCGCGUUGCUUCCUGAAAGUCUCUCUUACAAAGUCAAUAGGCUGUGAGAAGCACUUCUGUACAGAGUGGCGAGAAGUUUGCAAAGAAACACCAGUGUAUUGUUAGAAAUGAACAGCUUCCAGUGUAGGUAGCUGGCUGCAAGGUCUUCCCCAGCCCUCUGUGCUCUCCGCUAGCUGUGAAAAUCCUUGUGGGCUGCCCUGGUGGGGAGCACAGGGCCACGAAGGGAGCAGCUGACAGUAAGUCCCGUGCCCUGCCCUUGUGGGAGCUGGAUUCCCGGCCCUUGUGUCCUGCAAGAGCCUGCUGCAGGGUGUUUGACCUGGUGGGAAGGGAGAGCAAGAGGGCAGGUGAUGAUAGGGAAUGGAUGUAAAUAACACUGCCUGUGUUGCAAUGGCCUUUGCCAUCUAUGAAGAUGUGGCUGGCAACCUGCCUGCUUUUAGCCUUCCAGAGAAGCAGAUACGUAAAACUCAAACUAGAUUUAGCCUUUUAAAUCCCCAAGGGACAUCAAGGUUUAAAAUAAAGCAGCUAAAAUCCUGCCUCGUGCAGCGUUUGGAUCCUGGAAGGACGGAACCGUCUUAAUCCAUCUGAAUUUUGGGGUGGAAGCUGCUCACACCACAGAGUAACUGGCUGCUUAUUCUCAGAAAGGUGCCGAGUAAUGAACUGACUCAACUAAAAACUCAGGUGAAUGGUGCUAGCUAAGCGUGCAGCAGCUUGGCUGGAUUUAUUCAUGAUUGCAGCGCAUAAAUCAUCUUUCCAACCUGCUCUGGAAGCAGAACAAAGACCCCGCAUGGGGAGAGGAGGUGGUCACUGCCUCCCCCGUGCCCUUUUCCUUAAAUCUCUCCAAUUUUGCCUGCGUGGCUCCAUCAGGUUUUCUCAGCUCUUCCCUUUAGAGGGCGUUCCUGCUGCACACAUCGUGGGGCGAGCUUCGCCCAGGAGCUGCAUGCAGCAAGGCGAAGCCUCCCAAAGGUCAGCAGGAGCUGGGGGUGGCUCGGAGCCUGCCCAGGGAUGCGAGCAGCCUGCUCGGGGUGCUUCUGGCUCAAUGCGCUCUGCUUCCUCAGGCGGUUGCCAAGCUUCUCCCAAAGGCAAUUUGGACAUAAUUUUGAUGGAUUUCCUGUGGCUGCUCUCCAUUAGUUACGGUGUUUUCUUCCUCCAGCCUCUUUGAAAGGACUUCUAUUUUUGUUGAGCAAGUAAAGAAAGUGAUUAAAAGGGCACGGGGAUCCGCUACGUGGGAUCACUCGGGGGCUGCUCCCAGCUUCUUCCCACCAGGUCAUCUGGAGUGGAUUACUUCCUCCAGUAGGUCCUGCACUAGAUUAAGACCUUACCCUUCUGUUCUCUGGAGGUUUUAGCAUUCUCCAGUCUUGCAAAGCCACAGCAUCACUCUGCAAAGAAGUCUGAGCGCUGCUGUAGAGUAUUUGGUUAUCCCCAGAUCAGAGCACAGGAAAAGGGGCAGAAUAUGUGACCAAGAAGAGGAAGAAAGAAAACUAAACAGAAAUCAAUGACAGAACCCCUCCAACUUCAGCUGGGCUUUGAUCCCACGCUUGAACUGAAGGAUGAGGUCUCCUCCCUGUUUCCCACCCUUUUCCCCUCUUGGCUGCCUGUGUGUCUGCCUGGGGAGCAGCUCUCCAGGCUGAACUGAUAACAGCUCGCUUCUCCCCGUCCCACCCUGCAGCCAGGGCUCCGCAACGCCUGGAGGAACAAAGCGUCAGCCUCAGAGCCACCCUGCUGGGGUUAGCAUCUUCGACAUAUGGCCGGGGGAGGCUAGCGGGGUGUUUGAGUGCAUUACGGAGCGAGUCCCCCACGGCUAACUGCAGCUGGCAGGCAGCAGCCCCCUGCGUGGCUGGAGCUGCGAAGCAUGAGGAGAAGCUGAGGUGUGGGGGUAACGGAAUCGGUGCUGGUCCCUGCUGUGUGCACAAAGAACAGUCCCCUGGGGACCGUUCAACGGCAACUGGGUUUUGGGCACGUUGCAGCAAACCUGGUCCCAAGGUGCUGUCUGCAACGGCGAUGGGGAAUGGAGCUUAAGAUCGUACUGGGGGAAGGAGACAAGGCUGUUUAAUUCCAGAUCUGAUGUCCCACACAGACAGUGGUCAAAGCUUACCCAGGCUGUGCUCACAGCUUUGUCCCUGGGCUCAGAACAGAGCAGGCAGCGCGUUGUUCUGAGCCCAGGGACAGUCCUGGGGCCAGGCGGAUGUCUUGUUGAAACAGCAGCAGGAGGAACCCAGCUCCUUCAUCAAUGAAUGCGUUUGUUUAAAGCAUUUAUCCUCAGAGCAUACCCAGGUGGGUACGGCUACACAAAGGCACUCGAGGAUGGUAGGAAAAACUUCAGCUCUGAAGCGAGUGAAAGCAGGAGCAAGGCUUCCACCGCUGGAGACCUUUAAGGCCAAGCCAGAUAAGCAGCUGCCAGGAGCUGACCUUGCUUUGAGCAAAGAGCUGGAUCCUCUCUAUUUUCUGUGUCAGCCUGCAAGAUUAGAGGCACAGGAGUGAACUGGUGUAAAAACAUCUAGGCAAUACUAACGAGGAAAUUCUCAGGUCCUCUUCCAUCACAAGCAGCGUUUCUGUUUGCCUGGAUUGCUCAGCCGAGCAAUGCAAAGUGCGCUGUCAUAUGAGCAAUAUUUCACCUAUCGUGCUUAGAUAGAGGAAAUAUGCCAGGCACGCACGGAGCGAGCAGGCAGAUUCGUGCACGUGAUUAGCACAAGCUGCCCCGAGGUCAAGCGGUGGUGUUGGAGGACACCACGAAUCACCAACACGUCCUCCUUCUGGAGGCUGGAAAGGGAGAGCUGCGCAGGUUGUACCCCUGGCUCACCUCUUGCUUCCCGUUGUGCACGCUGGAUGAAGGAGGUAAUUGUUUAGGGGUACUUCUAGGAAUAGCAUCUCUGCUGGUUUCAUUGCUUACUGGGGAAGGAUGUGUUUAAAUGAGGAAAGGUCACGUUGUUUUAGGUCCUUUGAGGUCAUUUUUCUUGCCCUUUUGCGGGGGAAGCAGGCUGAGUGCCUAAAGCUGACCGUGUCCAAGGUGGCAAACUGAGGUCUCGCUGGAUUGCAGAGGGCAGCUGGUCCCAGAGCUGAGCGAUUCCUCCUGCUGUAAGAGCCUCUGGUGAGGACAGUGCCCAGGUCACAUCUCCUGGAGUGAGCCCUGAUCAGACCGGGGGCUGCCCAGCACCGUGUGCUCUUUCCAGGUAUCGGUUUUGAGCAUCCACCAGUGGAUUUUCUCCUGAAUGGAGAUUUCAACCAACUCUUCAUGAACACAUCCAGUGCCCCUGUGGACCCGUAACGCCCCUUCCCUCCUGUGGGGGACCAGCCUCCUGUUUGUCCUCUACCUGGCUCUUGUUGCUUCUGUUUGAGCGGCCCCAGGUUCUUGUCUGGGAAGAGAUCCUGAGCAGUCCCCCCCUUCCCACCCUGCCUGUGCCAGCAGAACCUACGGAUCUACAAAUCCUCUCCUCCUUUCAGGCCCCCGAGCCUGCUCUCUUCAGGACAGAUCAAAGCAGGAGGCUAGCGUUGUUUCAAACCACGGCCUUCCUACAGAAUGUGCUCUAUCCACUUACAGAUGGCUUUUAUGGGCUCUGAAGCCUCCCGUGGAUUAGCCCACGGUUGCCUGUGUAAACAUUUUCUCUAUCCCACAUCCUGCUUCCCCAGCACGUCUCAUGCUCACGGCUCCGUGCCUUUGCUCAGUCCAAACAUCCUGCAGAAACCUCUAGCUCUUCUCAACAACCUUCCCCCCCAACCCCAGCUCCUGCCAGGUUGCGAGCAAAGCUCCACCAGCCCAACGCAGCCCCCAAAUUCUUGGAGACCUGCCCAAAGAAGAGAUUCACGCACCCUUCCCGCAGCGGCUACCACCACGUGCACAGUGGCUUUGCCUGGUGACCCCAGCGCUCUUGUCGUUGCGUAAAGGUCGGUGUGCCUUCAGCCAUCUCCUCCUGCACGUCCCCAGCGCUCUCCUUUCUCCCUUUCUCCCCCCGGCUGUCAUCUCCAGCAGCCUCGCUGCUGAAGGCGGUGGGCGGGCGAGUGCGCGCCGCGG